AUGCGCAUCCGUAAACCAGCAAC
rnacentral:miRNA from 1 species